GAGCAUGCUGGACACCCGGAAGCAGCUCUUCGAGGAGCUUCUGUGGGAGCACCGGGAGCUCUCUGAGGCCCACAGCCAUUGCCAAGCUCUUCCGGAAGCUUCCGUCGAGGUCCUCAAUGCUCAGCUCUCCGCGCUAAAAGCUGAAAAGGAGCAGCUUGCCUCGGAGCACCGGAAAGCUCU